rnacentral:rRNA from 1 species
CCAGACUCCUACGGGAGGCAGCAGUGGGGACUCUUUCACAAUGGUUUCCCCCCUGAUGCCUCCCCGCCGCGUCCUUUCCGAAGGUGUUCGUCUGGUAAAGCUCUCUCAGCAGGGCCGCCGCAGGACGGUCCCUCCAGAGGAAGCCACGGCUAACUACGUGCCAGCAGCCGCGGCAAUACGUAGGUGGCAACAGUUGUGCGGAAUAACUGGGCGUAAAGGAUGCGUAGGCGGUUAAACAAGUUAUAUGUUAAAUGUAUAGGCUUAACCUGUAGAAAGCAUAUAAAACUGUUUAACUAGAGUGCAGGAGAGGUAGGUGGAAUUCCUAGUGUAGCGGUGAAAUGCGUAGAGAUUAGGAAGAACACCAGUGGCGAGGGCGACUUACUGGACUGUAACUGACGCUGAGGCAUGAGAGCAUGGGGAGCAAACAGGAUUAGAUACCCUAGUAC